CAGUAGCCACGGGAAUACGUAGGGUGCGAGCGUUAAUCGGAAUUACUGGGCGUAAUGCGUGCGCAGGCGGUUAUAUAAGACAGAUGUGAAAUCCCCGGGCUCAACCUGGGACCUGCAUUUGUGACUGUAUAGCUAGAGUACGGUAGAGGGGGAUGGAAUUCCGCGUGUAGCAGUGAAAUGCGUAGAUAUGCGGCGGAACACCGAUGGCGAAGGCAAUCCCCUGGACCUGUACUGACGCUCAUGCACGAAAGCGUGGGGAGCAAACAGGAUUAGAUACCCGCGUAGUCCCUGUCUCUUAUAC
rnacentral:rRNA from 1 species